ACAAAUCCAUAUUUUAUGCCGCAAGGCGUAGAUAUAAAUUCGCUUGGCUGGCGCAAGCUGCCAAGUUGAAAGAUUGUAUAUAUUAUUAUAUAUAAAUGUAUGUGUAGUGUAGACAAGUGUGUGUAAAAACAAAAAUAAUUGA
rnacentral:misc_RNA from 1 species